rnacentral:rRNA from 1 species
AAGGGCACCACAAGAACGCGUGGAGCAUGUGGCUUAAUUUGACUCAACGCGGGAAAUCUUACCGGGUCCGGACACACUGAGGAUUGACAGACAUUUAUAUACCGUAACAAGUAUAUAUUUAAAGAUGCUAGUUCUUUCAUGAUUAUGUGAUAGGUGGUGCAUGGCCGUUCUUAGUUCGUGGAGUGAUCUGUCUGCUUAAUUGCGUUUCAUAUUAUUAUAUAAUAUACACACAUCACGUGUGUUAUAUUAUUACUUUGAAAGCAACGAACGUGACCGUAGCCUUUUAUUAUAUACGCUACACGUAUAUUAAUUAAAGGGACCGCUGUAUCUUUCUUUAAACCAGAGUAAGGUUACGGCAAUAACAGGUCUGUGAUGCCCUUCGAUGUUCCGGGCUGCACACGUGCUACAAUGAUUAUUUCAUUAAGUAUCUACUGUGCAAUAAUAUAUUAUUAUUAUUCAAAAAACCUACUCUGAGAAUGAGCGGGUAAUCAAUUAGAAGUAAUGAUUUCCAAAUUUAUACACUCAUGUACCGUAUAUAUUAUCCCAUAUUUUAAUUAAUAUGCGUGUAUAAUAUUGUACGCUGUACGUAUAUUUAUUAAUUCAUGGUGGGGAUAGACUAUUGUUAAUUGUUGGUCUCGGUCUUAACUAGGAAUGCCUUGUACGGGUCAUUGGUUCAACAGACCACCCGGAAUACGUCCCUGCCCUUUGUACACACCGCCCGUCGCUCUUACCGAUGAACUUCGCUAUGAAUCUAUUGGACUGUACCAUUGUGGUAUGGAAAGAUAUAUGAAUAGUGUGGUUUAAAGGAAAGAGAAGUCGUAACAAGGCAUCCGUAGGUGAACCU